rnacentral:rRNA from 1 species
UAGGGAAUCUUGCACAAUGGGCGAAAGCCUGAUGCAGCGAUGCCGCGUGAGGGAUGAAGGCCUUCGGGUCGUAAACCUCUUUCAGUAGGGAAGAAGCCACGGGUAACCGUGGUGACGGUACCUGCAGAAGAAGCCCCGGCUAACUACGUGCCAGCAGCCGCGGUAAAACGUAGGGGGCAAGCGUUGCCCGGAUUCACUGGGCGUAAAGCGCGUGUAGGCGGUCCGUCAAGUCGGGUGUGAAAUCUCGAGGCUCAACCUCGAAAUCGCAUCCGAUACUGGCGGACUUGAGGACGGUAGAGGUCGGUGGAAUUCCCGGUGUACCGGUGAAAUGGGCAGAUAUCGGGAGGAACACCAGUGGCGAAGGCGGCCGACUGGGCCGAUCCUGACGCUGAGACGCGAAAGCCAGGGGAGCGAACCG